UUUUUCCCUACCACCACUAAUAUUUUCUUUUCCCUACCACUAAUCUUUUUCCCUACCACCACUAAUAUUUUCUUUUCCCUACCACUAAUCUUUUUCCCUACCACCACUAAUUUGUUUUCAUACCACUACGCUUUGUAAAAAAAAAAAAUAGCUUUUAGUCAUGCCCUUAUAUCCUUACUUCUCUCUGCACAACCAAAGUUGGAAUUCAUAGAAGCCUUUAAGCUCCAAGAGUAGUAUCAAAGUAAGGGAGAGCGUGGGAAACCUAGGGCGUAAAGUUAGAGUGAAGAUUGUGCUUCGAGGGCUUUGUGACCAGGGGGAUUAGCGCUGCUUUCCCAAGACAGGUUUUUAUGUGUAUGAUCUUCAGGCUUUGCCUAUCCAGGUGGGCUUACUUUCCAAAUGUACAAAGUAUGAUUGAGUUAUUAAGCUCUAAAUGUUUUCAAUGAAAUGCAAAUUGUUUAUUUAAUGUAAUGAAAACUGUUUAUCCAAUAAAAUGUUUAUGUGCACUCUGCUCUGUUUAAGGCUCGCAAUUCAUGGAUUGAUCGAGGUUCUCUUAUGGCCUAACACGUUAUUUGAGAAUUGUGUACACUUGUUAGUUGUUUCGGUGGGUUGAUCUCCAUCGGGCACUAAUUCAUGUAAGAGGCGUUAUAAGGGUGCUUGGCUGGAUGUGUUCCGGAGCAUGUAUCAUGUAAGGCCUGCCUGGGUAGCGUCCCGAGGUCAAUUCAACUUGUCUGAGUUACGUCCUCAGGGCAAGUGCAAUGGGAGAAAUGGAUCUGUCGGUGGCUAAAAGGUCCGGGAUCACAGCGAGUAACAGAAAGGGAGUGUGACAUGUGCGCACAAAUGAAAGAAAAUGUUUUAACAUGCUUAGAAGUACUUCUUUCAAUUUAAAACCUUCUAAGUCAUGUCAAGUAUGAUUGGAUAAACUGCUCUUACGAAAAUAUGAAAUGUUUAUGAAAAUGCAUGCCCACUAAGUACAUUAGUACUUAGCCCAAAAAUACUUUCAAAUGUUUUCAGGUUGGCUGGCUGGUGCUGACGGGACGGAGCUGAGGCUAGAGUUAAAAUUCAUAUGUUAGACUUCCGCUGUAGCAAUUACUCUUAUACAUCUUUUGUUUUCUCAACUUAAGAUGACUUCAUGUCGAGCUUAAAUUUGAAAUUCUAGUUUUAUGCUAAUGAAUGUUGGUUGUCAGAAACAUGAAACAAAACUUGUGAUCCAAAGGGGCAUAGCCCGACUUUCUAUCCUAUUUUGGGUUUUAACGAGGUA